CGACUAUGAACUAACUAACCACAAAAAGUUGGAGAUUGGUUCAAAGCACAGGAUUCAUGAGGCUUGAAUAUGUUCUAACCUUGGCAGAAGGCGUUCCUCACUCAUUUGGGGAUGACAGAUGGAUGUAGCUGAAUCUAAGAAGAUGUGUACUUGUCCCAAAUGUGCAGGAUAAAUAAAUACAGAAGUCACCAACAGAAGACUCAGUCAAUGCUAGUGUCAGAGGCAUGUGAACCAGAGCAACUCCAUCUUAAUUAGUAGCUGGGUAAAAUGAGGCUGAGACCUACUGGUCUGCAUUCCCAGAUGGUUAAGGCAUUCCAAGUCACAGGAUAAGAUAGGAGGUCGGCACAAGAUACAGGUCAUAAAGACCCUGCUGAUAAAACAGUUUGCAGUAAAGAAGCUGGCUAAAUCCCACCAACACCAAGAUGGUGAUAAGAGUGACCUCUGGUCCUCCUCACUGCUACACUCCCAACAGCACCAUGAGAGUUUACAGAUGCCAUGGCAAUGUCAGGAAGUUACCCUAUAUGGUCUAAAAAGGGGAGGCAUGAAUAAUCCAUCCCUUGUUUAGCAUAUCAUCAAGAAAUAACCAUAAAAAUGGGUAACCAGCAGCUCUCAGGGCUGCUCUGUCUAUGGAGCAGCCAUUCUUUUAUUCCGCCACUUUCCUAAUAAACUUGCUUU
rnacentral:lncRNA from 1 species